rnacentral:lncRNA from 1 species
AGGAUGAAUACGCAGAUCCAACCAACACACUAAUACCCAUUGCUUAUCUGAUAAAUAGAAAUAAUAAAUUGUGCCCUGUAUUGGCCGAUAAAACCGACAAAUAAAUGUACCCAACAUGGGUCAGUAUAACCAAAAAAUGGGGUGCUUAACACUCCCCGACACGUAGUCGUAUAACCCUGAACUCUUCCUAUCUUAUGGAAUGCCAACCAUACC